rnacentral:rRNA from 1 species
GACGAACGCUGGCGGCGUGCUUAACACAUGCAAGUCGAACGGAAAGGCCCCGCUUUUGUGGGGUGCUCGAGUGGCGAACGGGUGAGUAACACGUGAGUAACCUGCCCUUGACUUUGGGAUAACUUCAGGAAACUGGGGCUAAUACCGGAUAGGAGCUCCUGCUGCAUGGGGGGGGUUGGAAAGUUUCGGCGGUUGGGGCUGGACUCGCGGCUUAUCAGCUGGUUGGGGGGGUAGUGGCUUACCAAGGCUUUGAAGGGUAGCCGGCCUGAGAGGGUGACCGGCCACAUGGGGCCUGAGAUACGGCCCAGACUCCUACGGGCGGCAGUAGUGGGGAAUAUUGCACAAUGGGCGGAAGCCUGAUGCAGCAAUGCCGCGUGCGGGAUGACGGCCUUCGGGUUGUAAACCGCUUUCGCCUGUGACGAAGCGUGAGUGACGGUAAUGGGUAAAGAAGCACCGGCUAACUACGUG